rnacentral:tRNA from 1 species
AGUUGAUGAACUUGUUAAAGUAUAUAUUUUGAAAAUAUAAAAAAGAGAUAACCCUCUCUAUUAACUU